CCUACGGGGGGCAGCAGUGGGGAAUAUUGCGCAAUGGGCGAAAGCCUGACGCAGCGAAGCCGCGUGAGGGAUGAAGGUCUUCGGAUCGUAAACCUCUGUCAGCAGGGAAGAACGGUCACUGUGCUAAUCAGCAGUGAAUUGACGGUACCUGCAAAGGAAGCACCGGCUAACUCCGUGCCAGCAGCCGCGGUAAUACGGGGGGUGCGAGCGUUAAUCGGAAUUACUGGGCGUAAAGCGCUCGUAGGCGGUAUGUCAAGUCAAGGGUGAAAUCCCCGCGCUCAACGUGGGAACUGCCGUUGAAACUGGCAAACUGGAGUGUGUGAGAGGAUAGUGGAAUUCCAGGUGUAGGAGUGAAAUGCGUAGAUAUCUGGAGGAACAUCAGUGGCGAAGGCGACUAUCUGGCACAUAACUGACGCUGAGGAGCGAAAGCGUGGGUAGCAAACAGGAUUAGAUACCCUAGUAGUC
rnacentral:rRNA from 1 species